UCGAGGGCUUCCUGAAGAAAAGGAAAGAUACAAUGAAAAUGAAGUGGUCAACCUAUUGGUUCAGGCUCCAAAACACAACAUUAUUCUUCUACACUAAGAAACAUGGGAGUGCUUCACACCUAAGAGGCCUGUACUACAUCUACACUGUAAGUCAAACUGAUUUGAUUUGGUCUGAAAGCCUUCCUGGUCCUUCUAGCCAGACAGACAGGAACAAUUGCCCUGGACUUUGUUCUACUUUCCCUUGUGUUCAAUGAGCAUUACCCACUAUUCCAUAUGCCCUAGUUACAGCUGCUUAAUAGUAUACUAUUUACAAGUAUGUAUAGCACUUUAUGUCUGAAAUAGAAGUGUUGUU